CAUAUUGAAGACAGUCUUGUUUGCUCAACGUUGUUUGUUGUUGGGGGAAUGCUUCUGGCAGGAUAUUAAUGAAAGAAUGUGAUGAAACAUUUUGCAUUGCCUUCGCUCAGCAACAUGACAGGGCCACUACACGACAACGAACAACAUCUACACGCAGCCGAAAGGAAAUACAACACACAUACACAUUCGAGAUACAAAUACAAAGAUGAGUACCAGAAAAUACUUACAAGCUUUUUCGGGGGAUACGCACAAAGCCAACGAUGACAACUACAAGAUUCUGUGAGAUGCUCGUAUUCUCGCAUAACCGGAUGUUAUUUACAGCUGCUGCAGUCAGCGGCAGCUGACACAACUUUGCAUACUUUAAUUAAACAUUCUACACUGCAGAUGUACAUACACACAUACAAAUACACAGUUGGAUAUACGAAUAUGUAUCUACAUAUACAGAACGAGAGGGAAACUUGAACAGAUACAGAUACAGAUACAGAGCAAAGCAAGCGAAGCAAAAGUUUAAAUAAAUGCUUGUUAAAUGUCGCAAAAUUGCCCGCAGACUUUUCCCAGCACUUACUAAGUAACUACGUUUGAAAUUCUGCGGCAGUUACUUAACAAUUUCACUGAAAAAUGGCCAUAAGCAUUCUCUGUGCAUAUACUAUACGGAUCCAGCAGAUACAGAUACAUUUGCAGAUGACUUCUCCAGAUACACAUAGCACUCUUCUCAACCGAAUGCCAGGGUCCAGCCACUGCGAACUUAAUUAGGGUUAAUUAAUGUUAGAAAAACACACAGACGCACACACACAGACACAUUCACAUUCGCAGAUAUUGACUAACGACAAAUUGGCAUACAAUUUACAUUCUGCUGCGACGCACAAAUGGAGGCAGCAUCAGCUGGAGCAGCCAAACCGGAAAUGAGUUUUCAAAAGCCCGGAAGGCAGCAAUUAUGGUAUCGCAAAAUAUAAGCAAAGAAAAAUAACAACACGAAAAUUUGUGGUCGCUAAAGAAUGUGCCUGCUCUGUUGCUCUGUUGGUGGCAUCGGAGGUGAUGCAAGGAUGGCGUUCAGAAGACCUGGAAACUGCUCCCCCGUCGCGCUGGGAUACCAAAAUUUGUGAGAUACUAAAUGUGGCAUGUGGCAGCAGCAUAUAGGGAACAAACAACAAACAUGAAAACAAAGGGACGCAAGACGCAAAAAAACAAGCUCAAAGUAAGCGCCGUAAAUGUUUAGAAAUAAAUUUGUGUCGCCUGCAACGUUGCCACAAAAAAGACCCCUCAUAAAUGUUUACACCUUGUUAGAGGGUAUGGUUAGUAGUCGCACCUGAGAUGGAAGUUUCGCGAAGGAACAGAAACAGAAACAGGAGCACGAGCCAAGAAAACGUGUCAAUGAUGCCGCACAGACAUCGCAGAUAACCGACACUGUAAUAACCAUAAUGGACACCAGUGCAUUCAACCGCACACUUGGAUGAAACUGAAAAGAAUUUUUUCUUAGUUCCACUUACAAUAUAUAAAUUAGUACUAAUUACAAACAAUCAAUGAUAAUCUUAUACUCUAAAAAUUACAUACAUAAAUUACUUAG